UAAUUAUCCACGGCCUUUCAUCUUGCUUGCUGGGCGCCCACCACGUGUGCUCUUCAGAGGGGAGACGCUCAAGAUGCCUCCCGUAGCUGACCCAGAAGGGGUGCCCCAGAGGGCAGGGGCUCUGUCCUAUUCUCGACUGUGCAGCCUCAGGACCUGACCCCAAGGGGGCACCAGAUAUUUUUGCGCCCUUCUGAGAUUUGUGUCUGACAAACUCCAGAGCAAGGUGCCUCCUCUGGACACAGCGCCUGCCACCCUGGAGCAGGAUGCCGCGUGCUGUCUGGGACGCUCUCCUUAAUGGACAGGGAAUCUAAGGCCAAGGCGCUCGCCUGGCCGAGGUCCCCCUGUGGACAGGAAGGAUGUCACAGAGAAAUGGCUUGGCCUCCUGACCUUUCACCCUUAGAGCCAGUAUGUUACUCCUAAUAUACCAAAAUUCAUUAUUUUCCUGCCAACAAUCAUUACUAAAUAAUUGACUCACUUUCCUAUUUUUUAUUAAAGUCACAGACCUCCCA